ACGGAGCCAUGACCCCGGCUCGGUUCCCUCUCACCCCCUCCCCUCACCGCACACAGCGCAUGCGCCAUCUCCAUGUGCAGCGCCUGGAACAGCGGCGAGUCAGCCAUGGCCGCCGUUCCGCCUUCCGGGAUUGGACACCGCGUGACUGAUCAUGUGACCUAUCUGCUCGUGGAUCAUGUGACCUGACUCCAUCAGUGCCGUUCCUGUUCCGCCUCCGCGAUAGCGGGUGGCUGAAGUCCAAGGAUGGCAGCGCCCCAGUACAAAGCAGUGGUUCAAGGGGAAGCAUCUGAGACUGAUUCAGAUGAAGAAGUUUAUCUGUCAUCUGUUCCUCAGGCCUCCUUCCCCAGCCUCUCUGGUGUGAAAGUCCUCGGGGAAGCGUCUGAGACCGAUGACGAAGACGAAGGGAGCCCAAGUGGGCACAAAGUCAAGUCUAAGCUAGUUGACCUGGACCUGCCUCCCCUGAUUGUCAUCAGAAAGGAGGAGCCAAGGUCUCCUAUGGGAAUAGAAGAGAAACCUGCCCUUCGUAUCCAGCACGAGGGGCGCUACAGCACCUUGCUGCAGCAGAAGCUGAUUGAGAGCAAUGCCCGCUUGUACUACGAUGUCAGCAGCACCAUCAAGCAGGUGUAUCAAAUGGCCACCAAGGAACUCGGCACCAUCACUGCACAGCUCAGCAACUCACAGAGCGGCAUCAUCAAUGCCUCGCACAAUAUCCGCCUCAUUCUGGAUGACUUGCAAGCUGUGGCUGACAAGAUGGACAUCGUCACCAGCUGCAACCUGCUGCCUGAUAUCCAGAUGGAGCUGCCUCCUGCAUAACCUUCCCCUUCUCUUGGAACUAGGGGACCUGAGCUACUCUGUUCUGUUGGCAGCUUGGAGUGCUGGGCUGGUUGGUUACUGGUUACUGAUGGGCACUGGCUUGUCAAAAUGAUGGGAUGUGGAAUAUCAAAUGGAGCUGCUUUAGCCCUGAUGGGUCUUUGUAGUUUUGAUGAUGACAAUGCUGCCCAGCUAGUCCCAAGCGAAUUAAUGACCAAGAUCUCGGGGAACACUGCUCCCAACAUGCACAAAGGUCUCAUGCAACUGUUGCUUAAUAGAACUGCUGUUAAUAUUAUCAUGUGGCUGGAGCUAAUUCCAAGAAAUAAGUGCAGUGGAUGCACUGAAAGGUCUGUGCUUUAGGGUAACACUUUCAGAGUUGUAUGUCCAGCACGUGUCUGAAGGCCAAGGACAGUGCCUGUCCUGUAGCUGAUGAGGGGUCACACAAGGUGGUGUCCUUGACCUUGUCUUCUCCCUCUACACCCUUUCUUUGUCAUCUCCUCCACUCACCUGGCUUCAAUGACCAUCUUUACACUGAUGACUCAACCCUACUUGUCCAGUCCUACAUCACCAUCUGUCUCUGUAUCCUCCUUGGUCAUGCCUUCCUUUAGCGUAGCGGUGAGUAUCCCUGCCUGUUAUGCGGGAGACAGGGUUCAAUUUCCUGACAGAGACGCUUCACUUGAUUAUGUGACGUGGUAGCCUGCAAUACCAGAGGACUGGAUGUGAUGACCCAGGAGGUGCCUUACAGUCCUGUGUAUCUUCCUCCUGGAUGUCU